UAUGUUAUGUGUCUGAGUGAUCAGCCUCUUACGUCAUCAUAAGUGACACACCUUUGCUAUGGUGUUUGCCGGCGAAGCAUAUAACCCGUGGAUACUUAAGUCAAAUUAAAGAAAUGGCGGACUCUGGUGAGGAAAGGAGUGUAUCUUUGGAAGAACUGAAUGGUUGGUCAAAGAAAAAUGUACAACAUUGGCUAACAAAACGUAUUGUUUGAAAAAGUCUGGAAACAAAACUGUUCUGGUGAAUAGAAUAUUGCGUACUAUUAAUUUUGGUGAGAGCGAUAUAUCAUCAGACAGCUCGGAUGAUGAAAACAAUUGAUACACAAACUUGCCUGAUGUCAAGGAACUGAAUGAAUGGGAUGAGCUGACAACUUCUAAUUGCCCUCCUGUAAGAUCAGAGGAUGUAGAUAAUUACU